rnacentral:rRNA from 1 species
GAUGAACGCUAGCGACAGGCCUAACACAUGCAAGUCGAGGGGCAGCACAUGAGUAGCAAUACGAUGGUGGCGACCGGCGCACGGGUGAGUAACACGUAUGCAACCUGCCUUCUACUAUGGGAUAACCCGUUGAAAGACGGACUAAUACCGUAUAAUACAGGGGCUCCGCAUGAGAUAUUUGUUAAAGAUUUAUUGGUAGAAGAUGGGCAUGCGUAUGAUUAGAUAGUUGGUGAGGUAACGGCUCACCAAGUCAACGAUCAUUAGGGGUUCUGAGAGGAAGGUCCCCCACACUGGUACUGAGACACGGACCAGACUCCUACGGGAGGCAACAGUGAGGAAUAUUGGUCAAUGGACGAGAGUCUGAACCAGCCAAGUCGCGUGAAGGAAGACGGUUCUAUGAAUUGUAAACUUCUUUUGUGCAGGAAUAAAGUGGGUUACGUGUAACCUUUUGUAUGUACUGUACGAAUAAGGAUCGGCUAACUCCGUGCCAGCAGCCGCAGUAAGAC